rnacentral:rRNA from 1 species
GACGAACGCUGGCGGCGUGCUUAACACAUGCAAGUCGAACGGAAAGGCCCUGCUUUUGUGGGGUGCUCGAGUGGCGAACGGGUGAGUAACACGUGAGUAACCUGCCCUUGACUUUGGGAUAACUUCAGGAAACUGGGGCUAAUACCGGAUAGGAGCUCCUGCUGCAUGGUGGGGGUUGGAAAGUUUCGGCGGUUGGGGAUGGACUCGCGGCCUAUCAGCUUGUUGGUGGGGUAGUGGCUUACCAAGGCUUUGACGGGUAGCCGGCCUGAGAGGGUGACCGGCCACAUUGGGACUGAGAUACGGCCCAGACUCCUACGGGAGGCAGCAGUGGGGAAGAUUGCACAAUGGGCGGAAGCCUGAUGCAGCAACGCCGCGUGCGGGAUGACGGCCUUCGGGUUGUAAACCGCUUUCGCCUGUGACGAAGCGUGAGUGACGGUAAUGGGUAAAGAAGCACCGGCUAACUACGUG